rnacentral:misc_RNA from 1 species
CGCACAUUGCGCCCCUCGGUAUUCCGUGGGGCAUGCCUGUUCGAGCGUCAUUUGAAACUCAAGCCCAGCUUGGUGUUGGGCGUUUGUCCCGCCUCUGCGCGUGGACUCGCCCCAAAGUCAUUGGCAGCGGUCGUGCCGGCUUCUCGUGCAGCACAUUGCGCUUCUUGAAGCCCCGGUGGAUCAGCGUCCAGCAAGCCUUUCUAUAACUUGACCUCGGAUCAGGUAGGGAUACCCGCUGAACUUAA